rnacentral:rRNA from 1 species
AAGGAUCAUUACCAAUUUCGGGGGACUUCGGUCCCUGUCUGAACCCUUGUCUUUUGAGUACCAUUUGUUUCCUUGGUAGGCUUUGCCUACCAAUAGGACACCACUUAACCUCUUGUAAUUGCAAUCAGCGUCAGAAAAAACAUAAUAGUUACAACUUUCAACAACGGAUCUCUUGGUUCUGGCAUCGAUGAAGAACGCAGCGAAAUGCGAAAAGUAGUGUGAAUUGCAGAAUUCAGUGAAUCAUCGAAUCUUUGAACGCACAUUGCGCCCCUUGGUAUUCCAUGGGGCAUGCCUGUUCGAGCGUCAUUUGUAUCUUCAAGCUCUGCUUGGUGUUGGGUGUUUGUCCCGCUUUGUGCGUGGACUCGCCUUAAAGCAAUUGGCAGCCGGCGUACUAGUCUGGGAGCGCAGCACAAUUUGCGCCUCUGAACCUGAACGCUUGCGUCCAUGAAGUCUAUACUUUUGCUUUUGACCUCGGAUCAGGUAGGGAUACCCGCUGAACUUAAGCAUAUCAAUAAGCGGAGGAAAAGAAACCAACAGGGAUUGCCCUAGUAACGGCGAGUGAAGCGGCAUCAGCUCAAAUUUGAAAUCUGGCUCUUUCAGGGUCCGAGUUGUAAUUUGCAGAGGGCGCUUUGGUGUUGGCAGCGGUCCAAGUUCCUUGGAACAGGACGUCACAGAGGGUGAGAAUCCCGUACGUGGUCGCUGGCCUUCGCCGUGUAAAGUCCCUUCGACGAGUCGAGUUGUUUGGGAAUGCAGCUCUAAAUGGGAGGUAAAUUUCUUCUAAAGCUAAAUACUGGCCAGAGACCGAUAGCGCACAAGUAGAAUGAUCGAAAGAUGAAAAGCACUUUGGAAAGAGAGUCAAAUAGCACGUGAAAUUGUUGAAAGGGAAGCGCUUGCAGCCAGACUUGCCUGUAGUUGCUCAUCUAGGCUCUUUGCCUAGUGCACUCUUCUGCGGGCAGGCCAGCAUCAGUCUAGGCGGUUGGAUAAAGGCCUCUGUCAUGUACCUCCUCUCGGGGAGGCCUUAUAGGGGAGGCGUAAUGCAACCAGCCUGGACUGAGGUCCGCGCAUCUGCUAGGAUGCUGGCGUAAUGGCUGUAAGCGGCC